rnacentral:lncRNA from 11 species
GUUCUGAGAUGCAUGUCUUUACCUUUUUUUGGUAAAAAAAUGAAGUAGUAUGGUUCUGAGGAGAUAAAAUAUUCUGGUUCUGCUGCAUUUUUAGUUAUGAGAUUUCCUUAAUUUCUUUGCAGGGAUGUGUGGAUGUAUGUGAGAAAGACAGAUCCUAAGGUAUUGUGUAGAUCUAUUUGACAGAAACAGAAGAGGGCAUGCUUUGAAUCAGAGAUUGAGUUGGAAGAAUGUGAGCAGCUAUUGCAAGUACUUGCUCUGGAAAUAUUAUCCUCCUUCAUGGUGUAAAAGUAGGGAGAAAAGGUUUCUCAAGUGCUUCCCCAACUUUGGAAGUUUCAUUGAAGAUCUUCAUUAAGAUAAUAAAAAUUCAGCAGCAAAAACAUCUGGAGAUUCAUUAUGGUAAAAAAGAUGAUCCGGAAUACUUAUAAAUGAGAAACGCAAAGGCCUCUGUAAAUUUAGAAUAAAAACCUUGGAUCUCAAGGCAGAGAUAUUUAUUGUUCAACAUCUCCUAAAUAAAUUUGACAUUUGAGUAUCUUUGUCUUUGGCUGUAGGAAAUGCUUCCAUCACAUUAGGUCGCACCACCCAGGAGCAUGAGAAACAUUAUGUAGGUA